UGUACACAAGUUUGCUCACCAAGGGAGUCUUGCUCAUCCCCUUCGAAAGGGGGUGGAAAAUGACUGUUUACGAAUCAUUAAUGAUAAUGAUCAAUUUUGGCGGGUUAUUACUAAAUACCGUUUUGUUAAUCUUUAAUAUAAUAAUGAUUGUAACGUCAAGCCAAAAGAAAAAAUAGACCUUCCCUUGAGUUUGGACGCCCGUAGGGUUAGGUCUACUAUGUUACAUGCAACUGAGCAAGGCCCGUUGAUGGGCAGCUUUUUGCACAUGCCGGGGUGCUACCAACACCCUGG
rnacentral:sRNA from 1 species